rnacentral:rRNA from 1 species
UGGGGAAUUUUGGACAAUGGGCGAAAGCCUGAUCCAGCAAUGCCGCGUGUGUGAAGAAGGCCUUCGGGUUGUAAAGCACUUUUGUCCGGAAAGAAAUCCUUGGCUCUAAUACAGUCGGGGGAUGACGGUACCGGAAGAAUAAGCACCGGCUAACUACGUGCCAGCAGCCGCGGUAAUACGUAGGGUGCAAGCGUUAAUCGGAAUUACUGGGCGUAAAGCGUGCGCAGGCGGUUUGCUAAGACCGAUGUGAAAUCCCCGGGCUCAACCUGGGAACUGCAUUGGUGACUGGCAGGCUAGAGUAUGGCAGAGGGGGGUAGAAUUCCACGUGUAGCAGUGAAAUGCGUAGAGAUGUGGAGGAAUACCGAUGGCGAAGGCAGCCCCCUGGGCCAAUACUGACGCUCAUGCACGAAAGCGUGGGGGAGCAAACAGGAUUAGAUACCCUGGUAGUCCACGCCCUAAAACGAUGUCAACUAGUUGUUGGGGAUUCAUUUCCUUAGUAACGUAGCUAACGCGUGAAGUUGACCGCCUGGGGGAGUACGGUCGCAAGAUUAAAAACUCAAAAUGGAAUUGACGGGGGUCAUAGCUGUUUCCU